GUGGGGAAUAUUGCACAAUGGGGGAAACCCUGAUGCAGCGACGCCGCGUGAGUGAAGAAGUAUUUCGGUACGUAAAGCUCUAUCAGCAAGGAAGAAAAUGACGGUACUUGACUAAGAAGCCCCGGCUAACUACGUGCCAGCAGCCGCGGUAAUACGUAGGGGGCAAGCGUUAUCCGGAUUUACUGGGUGUAAAGGGAGCGUAGACGGUAUGGUAAGUCAGACGUGAAAGCCCGGGGCUCAACCCCGGGACUGCAUUUGAAACUAUCAGACUAGAGUGCAGGAGAGGUAAGUGGAAUUCCUAGUGUAGCGGUGAAAUGCGUAGAUAUUAGGAGGAACACCAGUGGCGAAGGCGGCUUACUGGACUGUAACUGACGUUGAGGCUCGAAAGCGUGGGGAGCAAACAGGAUUAGAUACCCCGGUAGUCC
rnacentral:rRNA from 1 species